UGGGGUCUCACCUGAAGGGGCAGAAUCCCCCCCUGCCCUGCUGUCCACGCUGUGGGAUCAUCCCAGGGCACGGGGGGUUUCUGGGCUGGGGCAGGUCCAGCCUCUCCCCACCAGCACCCCCAGGGCCU